rnacentral:rRNA from 1 species
AACGAACGCUGGCGGCAGGCCUAACACAUGCAAGUCGAACGCUCCAGCAAUGGAGAGUGGCAGACGGGUGAGUAACACGUGGGAACCUUCCCUUUGGUUCGGAAUAGCCCAGGGAAACUUGGGGUAAUACCGGAUAAGCCCUUACGGGGAAAGAUUUAUCGCCGAAGGAUGGGCCCGCGUCGGAUUAGCUAGUUGGUGGGGUAACGGCCUACCAAGGCGACGAUCCGUAGCUGGUCUGAGAGGGUGAUCAGCCACACUGGGACUGAGACACGGCCCAGACUCCUACGGGAGGCAGCAGUGGGGAAUAUUGGACAAUGGGCGCAAGCCUGAUCCAGCCAUGCCGCGUGAGUGACGAAGGUCUUCGGAUUGUAAAGCUCUUUUGGCGGGGACGAUAAUGACGGUACCCGCAGAAUAAGCCCCGGCUAACUUCGUGCCAGCCGCCGCAGUAA